rnacentral:lncRNA from 1 species
CCCAGAUUUACCUGGAAGCUGUGGAAUACUGGGGAGAAUGGGAAAGACCUCUUGGAGAAGAUUGGACUUGAAAUGAGGCUUGAAGGAAGCCGGGUAGACUGAGAGAUGGAGGGCCCUUCCUGAGCCUGGCAGCCACCUUAUUGGAGGAGAGGGCGGCGCUGAGCUGUAUCCAACCUCUGAGGCACGUGGGCACAGCAGAAUGAAUGUGAGUAGAGGAAAAGGCCUUUCCUUCCUCCUCAGGGUGCAUGUCAGGGGUGGGCAGGAAGGAGUGGCUGAGGUGAGGGGGCA